CUCCUAAACUUUGGGCCUGCAGGGGUAUCGAGUAUCCCAAAAGAAAGCCCAGAUGGUGAAACAAACAGUUAUUUACCUGGGCUAUGAAGUGAGUGCUGGACAAAGGACCUUGAGGCAAGCCUGCAAGGAAGCAAUAUGCCAAACCCCAAAACCCCAGACAGUAAGAGAACUGAGAACCUUUCUAGGCAUGAUGGGGUGGUGCAGACUGUGGAUUUAUAACUGUAGAUUGUUCAUUAAAACCCUGUGUGCCUUAAUCAUGGAAGGGAGCAGGGAUCUUCAGUGGACAACAGAAGCAACACAAGCCUUUGACCAACUAAAGAAGGCUCUUAUGUCAGCUCCAGCCCUGAGAUUUUCAGAUCUUCUUUCCUCAGCGGGAGUGAGGGAGAACCAGUGAUCCACGACUGCCUGGAGACCAUUGAAGCCACCUACUCCAGUGCCCGGAUCUGAAGAACACCCCUCUUGAAGACGCUGAGACCUGGUUCACCGAUCAUCAGCAAAAAGGACAUGCUGGGUAUGUGGUUACCACAUGCAGACCAUUGCCAACAAACACCUCUGCGCAAAAAGCUGAAAUAAUUGCCUAACCUGAGCCUUAGAGCUGGCAAAAGAAAAGAAAUCAACAUUUAUAUAGACUCAAGGUAUGCAUUUAGAAUGGUCUAUACACACAAAACUUUUUGAGAA